UUAAAAAAAUAAUUUGAAUAUUUAUUAACUUAUUUUAUAUUACAUUGCUUUUCUUUAAACUUUCACGAUUCCGCUAGAACUCUUUCUUUGUGCAUAAAUGCAUUUUAACCUAAAUCGUGAAAAUCCAUGUUAAUUUAUUAGAGUUAUCUGUAAGUAUUCGCUCUGAGUUUUUGUUCUGGUUGUUUCUUACAGAGCCUCCACUCAGGAGCAUCAGCCCUGAACAAGCAGCAUCUGCGGUGUACAGUAGUUCAUCAGUAACUGCAGGCGUAAGUGCAGCCGGAGUGGUCCUCGCUUUACUGCUCAUCAUAUGCGCUCUUAUUGGUGUCAUUUAUAGGAAACAUAGGAAGGCAAUGAGUGCAUCAGGAGAUACACACUGAAGCCAGCAGGUGGCAUAGAUCCAUAAGUGAUCAUGGAAGUUCCUUAUAGUUACUGCUUUACUGCAAGCUCAUGCAGUGCAGGACUAAGCUGAAUGAAAUAACAAGAAGGGUUGACUGUAAGGAAUCAAUGGUCAUUUCUCUCACUGAGGAGUGUAACCACUGGUGCUGUUUUACCAAGAGAUCACAGGUGAUUCUGACACACCAGCUGUUAAUUAUAACAAUGCUUAUCUUUCCUUGAACUCCACAAGACAUUAGGAUGUCAUGUUUGGCAUUUUAUGAUUUUUUGGGGGGCAUGAUAAUUAGGGCUCUGAAGAUUGUCCACCAGAUGGUGCCAAAGUUUAGAAAUAUUCUUUAAUAUAAUAAUUAAGCAUUAGUAUGAAUGGACAAAUAACUAUUGCUUUUAACUGUAGCACCAAUGCACACUAAAAUACCUCCUUUUUUAAAUAAUUUGUUUGCAAAGAAAAAGCACACAUUUCAUUUUGGCAUAUAAAGGCAUAUGAAUUGGUAGCUGGAUUAUUUAUUAUUGUUUAAGUAUUCAUACAGAUAAUAUAGCUCUUAUUGUAGCUGAUAUCUGAGUAGUGAAGUAAGAGUCCAUUUCAUACACAUUAUUUAUUGCUGUCUUACUAUUUAAAGUUAUUUUUAUUUAUUUUUCUGUCCUCGUGUCAGAUGUGUAUGUAUGUAUGUACAGGAGCACCUUAAAAAAGGCACAACAAAUUCAUUGUGUGUUUGCGCACACCUGGUGAAUAAAGCUAAUUCUGAUUCUGAUUCUGAUUUGACUUUGGGAUCAUGUGUGUCAUUUUCUGAUUUGUUUCUUCAAACUCAAACUUAGCAGUGAAGAUUCAAGAUUGUUUCUGAAAGUAUUUUUUAAUGAUUGAUUUAUGCUGUUGGUAUUGGACCAAGAUGGUUUUUGCAUUUGAGAGUUUAUUUGUUGUUCCUGUGUGAAUUGUGAGCAAGAUUUUUGUAUUGUCUGUGGAUUCUGUUGAUUGUUUGUAUUUAUUAUUUUAUUUAAAAUAUAUUCCAGUGUUACUGAUGACUGUGCAUUUUGUUAAACUUCUCUGAAUAAAGAGAUUUACAACAGUG